UACACCGAAAAAUAACCUUACAACAUCAACGCCAGAUUCAUACCAAAAUCACUUUGUCAAAUUUGUUGGGGAUCAUACAGAGAAAAUGCGAUCCAACAAAGAUUCAAAUCAACCAGUAGGAGUUAUUUGGGUCAAUGAACAAAUAAUGGUUUCGAAUCAUAACACAAAGGAUUCUGCUCAAAGUACCGGAUUUUCUGAAAACAACGUGAAUUUCGUAUAUGGAUGCAGGGACCAGCUGAAAAAAUGUGCGGCUGCAAAUAAAAAAUUACCGGUUAUU